GGAAGCGGAAGACUAAUGACCGAAGCUUCAAGACUUUGACAUGUGUGAAAACAUGAAAUGACCCUUGGCUCUUAUUGUUCUUGCUGGUGUGGUAUGUUCACGGCUGAAAAGGUGGUCAGAAGGGGAAAGGAGGAAGUGAGAAGAAAGAAACAGGGAAAUGACAGAGUGUUGCUCAGUUGCCCAGGCUAGAGUGCAAUGGCAUGAUCUUGGCUCACUGCAGCCUCCACCUCCUGGGUUCAAGUGAUUCUCGUGCCUCAGUCUCCCAAGUAGCUGGGAUUACAGGUAUGCACCACCACGCCCAGCCAAUUUUGUAUUUUUAGUAGAGGCAGGGUUUCACCAUGUUGGCUAAGCUGGUCUUGAACUCCUGACCUCUGGUGAUCUUCCUGCCUCGGCCUCUCAGAGUGCUGGGAUUACAGGCAUGAGCCACCCAGCCCGGCCUGAAAUACAUUUAAAUAAAUGAAGAUGGAGAAUCAGACAUUACUUUCAUUUAUCUGAAUCUGGUGCAGUUUAAUUAAUCUAUAAUUGUAAGUCUUUGAAUCAUAUGUCAAUAUUCUGUUUUGUUAGUCAUGAUUUCUAAGUGUUGCAUAACUGUGGCCCCAGCCACUUUAUAUUUUGGUAUCAUGACAGAAGAAUCUGAUUGUGGUUAUUUUCUACCUAUGCAUUUAUUCUUAGUGAUAUAUGCUGGUUAAAUUAUGGGAUAGUUUUAAAAUACAUGACAAAAAUAGCUAAGAGUAAAGAAAUGUCUUUGUUUCUGGUUGAAUAAACUGACCACACAAGGUUCCAAUUUAAAAUAAAUUCUAAACGAAUCAUGUUAUUUUCCAAAACUGUUCCUCCUCUCAGUAAAUGAAAUCAAUAUCCACCCAGUUACCCCAAGACAGAAAUCUCAAGAUCAUCUGUGACUCCUUCCUCUUCAUCUGCCACAAGUAGAGUAGCUUCUGUCUCCAAAGCCAGUCUCUGAUCAGUCCACUUCUCUUCCUAUAGCCUCUGCUUUAGUUCAAAUCUAGAAUCCUGCUGUGGUGGUGCUGUGGCUUCCAAGUUUCUCUUCCUCCAAUCCAUUCUCUAAACUACAGUCUUGCUCUUUCUAAGACGCAGAUCUUAUAAUUUUACUUCCCUUCGUAGGUUGAAUUUAACCUGCUAAAUCACGUCAAAAUUUUUCUGAAGAUACCAGCCUUUCUGCCUUAAUCAAACACAUUAGCCAAAUCCAUAGCAUUACUGGGAUAAAGCCUGAAGAUCCCAAAUUGAUAAGGCAUCUGGAUUCCCUUUGAUAACAAUAUUCAAUAACAAUGAACACCUACUGAGUAUACUAUUCCAAGCAUUAUAAGUGUAUUAACUCUUUUUACAAAAUCAACAAUAAUUAUUAUUGCUACCAUUUAUUGACAGCGUACUUUAAUCCAGGUGUUACAUAUUCAUUUAUUCAUUAUUAUUAUUUUUUUUUUUUUGAGACGAAAUCUUGCUCUGUUGCCCAGGCUGGAGCGCGAUGGCAUGAUCAUGGCUCACGGCAAAGUCCGCCUCCCUGGUUCAAGUGAUUCUCCUGCCUCAGCCUCCUGAGUAGCUGGGAUUACAGGCAUGUGCCACCAUGCCCCGUUGGCCAGGCUGGUCUCGAACACCUUACCUCAGGUGAUCCUCCCGCCUUUGGGAUUACAG